GGGUAUCAUAGAUGAAUGAGGAGUGUUUUUCGAAGAAAUGAACCAGUCCUCUAUGAUACCCUUGCAGUAUAUGAAUAUACCGUGUUGGUAUCAUAGAGAACUCAAUGUGUUCUUGAAGGAAUGGAUUGUCAGUCCUGUAUGAUACCAUGUCAGUAUAUGAUAUACCAUGUGGGUAUCAUUGAAGACUGAGUAGUAUUUUUUGAAGGAAUGAUCCAACGAUCUAUGAUACCUUAUCUGUAUAUAAUAUAUACCAUGUGGGUAUCAUAGAGGACUGAGUGUUUUUCUUGAAGGAAUGAACUGACAGUCCCCUAUCUUACUAUGUUAGUAUAUGGUGUAUACCACGUGUGUAUCAUAGUAUACUGCAAUAGUAUACUUCAACUGCUACUGAUUUGGUAUACUAUAUGCUAAAAUAUGUUGUUUUUUGAGAUAUAGAAAAAAAUAAAAAAAAAUAAUAUAUCAGUUAUCCUUCUUAUUGAUAUAAAAAAAUAAAAAAUAAAAAAAUAAAAAUAAAGGAGCCAAAAGGUAGAAUUAGAUUAUGAAAAAAAGAGAGCAGGAACUAAAGAAAAAAAUAAUUUGAAAAAAUGAAAUUAAAAAAGAGAAAAAAUAAAUAAUACUCACCAGAAAUUAAAAAAAGAAUAAUAAAUAAAACUAACAAAAAAGGUGAAUGAAAAUUAGAUUAUGGAGAUAAAAAAUAAAAAUAAAAGAAAUAGAUGAAAUUAAACAGAAACAAGAAAUUAAAAAAAUAGAGAAAAAAAUAAAAAUAAAGGAGCUAGAAUUAAAUAUGAAAUCAAAUUAUGGUGAAAAAGAAAAUAAAAAUAGUAUGAUUUGGGAAAGAAAUAAAUGAACAAAAAAGGGGAAAAAGAAAAAAAUCAAAAAAAAAAGAAGAAGAAAAGAAGAUAAGAA